GACGAACGCUGGCGGCGUGCUUAACACAUGCAAGUCGAACGGAAAGGCCCUGCUUUUGUGGGGUGCUCGAGUGGCGAACGGGUGAGUAACACGUGAGUAACCUGCCCUUGACUUUGGGAUAACUUCAGGAAACUGGGGCUAAUACCGGAUAGGAGCUCCUGCUGCAUGGUGGGGGUUGGAAAGUUUCGGCGGUUGGGGAUGGACUCGCGGCUUAUCAGCUUGUUGGUGGGGUAGUGGCUUACCAAGGCUUUGACGGGUAGCCGGCCUGAGAGGGUGACCGGCCACAUUGGGACUGAGAUACGGCCCAGACUCCUACGGGAGGCAGCAGUGGGGAAUAUUGCACAAUGGGCGGAAGCCUGAUGCAGCAACGCCGCGUGCGGGAUGACGGCCUUCGGGUUGUAAACCGCUUUCGCCUGUGACGAAGCGUGAGUGACGGUAAUGGGUAAAGAAGCACCGGCUAACUACGUGCCAGCAGCCGCGGUGAUACGUAGGGUGCGAGCGUUGUCCGGAUUUAUUGGGCGUAAAGGGCUCGUAGGUGGUUGAUCGCGUCGGAAGUGUAAUCUUGGGGCUUAACCCUGAGCGUGCUUUCGAUACGGGUUGACUUGAGGAAGGUAGGGGAGAAUGGAGUUCCUGGUGGAGCGGUGGAAUGCGCAGAUAUCAGGAGGAACACCAGUGGCGAAGGCGGUUCUCUGGGCCUUUCCUGACGCUGAGGAGCGAAAGCGUGGGGAGCGAACAGGCUUAGAUACCCUGGUAGUCCACGCUGUAAACGGUGGGUACUAGGUGUGGGGCCCAUUCCACGGGUUCCGUGCCGUAGCUAACGCUUUAAGUACCCCGCCUGGGGAGUACGGCCGCAAGGCUAAAACUCAAAGGAAUUGACGGGGCCCCGCACAAGCGGCGGAGCAUGCGGAUUAAUUCGAUGCAACGCGUAGAACCUUACCUGGGUUUGACAUGGAUCGGGAGUGCUCAGAGAUGGGUGUGCCUCUUUUGGGGUCGGUUCACAGGUGGUGCAUGGCUGUCGUCAGCUCGUGUCGUGAGAUGUUGGGUUAAGUCCCGCAACGAGCGCAACCCUUGUUCACUGUUGCCAGCACGUUAUGGUGGGGACUCAGUGGAGACCGCCGGGGUCAACUCGGAGGAAGGUGGGGAUGACGUCAAGUCAUCAUGCCCCUUAUGUCCAGGGCUUCACGCAUGCUACAAUGGCUGGUACAGAGAGUGGCGAGCCUGUGAGGGUGAGCGAAUCUCGGAAAGCCGGUCCCAGUUCGGAUUGGGGUCUGCAACUCGACCUCAUGAAGUCGGAGUCGCUAGUAAUCGCAGAUCAGCAACGCUGCGGUGAAUACGUUCCCGGGGCU
rnacentral:rRNA from 1 species